rnacentral:rRNA from 1 species
UGAGUUUGAUCAUGGCUCAGGACGAACGCGGCGGCGUGCCUAAUACAUGCAAGUUGAGCGCUGAAGGUUGGUACUUGUACCAACUGGAUGAGCAGCGAACGGGUGAGUAACGCGUGGGGAAUCUGCCUUUGAGCGGGGGACAACAUUUGGAAACGAAUGCUAAUACCGCAUAAAAACUUUAAACACAAGUUUUAAGUUUGAAAGAUGCAAUUGCAUCACUCAAAGAUGAUCCCGCGUUGUAUUAGCUAGUUGGUGAGGUAAAGGCUCACCAAGGCGAUGAUACAUAGCCGACCUGAGAGGGUGAUCGGCCACAUUGGGACUGAGACACGGCCCAAACUCCUACGGGAGGCAGCAGUAGGGAAUCUUCGGCAAUGGACGAAAGUCUGACCGAGCAACGCCGCGUGAGUGAAGAAGGUUUUCGGAUCGUAAAACUCUGUUGGUAGAGAAGAACGUUGGUGAGAGUGGAAAGCUCAUC